GCCCUGCUAGCUCAAUCGGUAGAGCGUGAGACUUUUACAAGCCUCGGCAGUAAAUCUGGGAAUAUCUCAAGGCUGCGGGUUCGAGCCCCGCGUGGGGCU
rfam:Rhizoctonia solani isolate BBA 69670 genome assembly, contig: RSOLAG22IIIB_scaffold01794